UACAGAGGUCUCAACCGUUGUUCGGAUUCAUUGGGCGUAAAGGGUGCGUAGGCGGCGCGGUAAGUCGGGUGUGAAAUCUCGGAGCUUAACUCCGAAACUGCAUUCGAUACUGCCGUGCUUGAGGACUGGAGAGGAGACUGGAAUUUACGGUGUAGCGGUGAAAUGCGUAGAUAUCUGGAGGAACACCGGUGGCGAAGGCGGCGUUCUGGACUGCAUCUGACACUGAAAGACGAAAGCCAGGGGAGCAAACGGG
rnacentral:rRNA from 1 species